UUCUGGCUGGCUUAGUCAGCGGAGCAUGUGACUUUUGAUCUCAGGGUUGUGGGUUCAAGCCCCACGUUGGGUG
rnacentral:tRNA from 1 species